ACAGCACUCGGCCAGCUUCUGAAGCUUCUGGGCCCUGCAGUCCCAGCUCUGUGCAAACCUAACCCCGAGCAACACCAUGAAGCUCUGCGUGUCUGCCCUCUCUCUCCUCUUGCUCGUGGCUGCCUUCUGUGCUCCAGGGUUCUCAGCACCAAGUAAGUUGACUCUUCCAGCUGCUUCCAGCCCCCACCUAGUCCAGUCUUCCAACUGGGGUCAGCUCAAUAGUCAGGCUUGGGCAGGGGAACCAGAGGGAGCUGGGAAGAUUCCCAAGUCUGUUGUUAAACAUGGAAUCUUCCAGACAGCCAUUAAUCCUUAAGCUCCCAAAAGAGGGAAUCCUUCACAGCCAAUGGUCAGAUAUUGAAUCAGCUUUCUCUCUGGUUUAAACUUGUUUGUCUUUAUGCCUUGAUUUCCCCACCUUUAAUAUGAAGCAAUUGAGAGGUGUUCUGAGUUUUGAUCUAGUUUCAAUCUUCUAGAUUUCUUUCCCCUUCUUCUUAGAGAAGUAUCUAGUUAGAGUAGAAAUAUCAUUCUGGGCUGGAGAGAUGGCUCAAUGGUUAAGAGCACUGACUGCUCUUCCAGAGGACCUGAGUUCAAUUCCCAGCAACCACAUGGUGGCUCACAACCAUCUGUAAUAGGAUCCGACGCACUCUUCUACUGUGUGUCUGAAGAUAGCUGCAGUGCACUCAUAUAAAUAAAUAAAAGUUUAUUAAUCAAUUAGUUAAUUAAUUAAAAAGAAAAAGAAGUCUCAUUCUGGGUGGAUGACCAUAGAUUUCAGGGACCAUGUUUUGGGUUCCAGUAGUCCAUAAGAAUGCUCAAUGAAGAUUUAUAAUGAACAGUGCCUGGUACAGUUUUGACCUUACCCUCACUUUUCCUUCCAGUGGGCUCUGACCCUCCCACUUCCUGCUGUUUCUCUUACACCUCCCGGCAGCUUCACAGAAGCUUUGUGAUGGAUUACUAUGAGACCAGCAGUCUUUGCUCCAAGCCAGCUGUGGUGUAAGUACACAUUGGGAUGAGGGCAAGAUUCGAAAAGGGCCAGGUUCAGGUGAAAAUGUUAUCUAACUGACGGGGGUCAAUUCUAAGGGUUGAAGCUCUGCCAAAGAACAGUGAGGUCAUGGGGUUCUGGUGGCUGCUGGAUGGGCAGUAAAGUGUGGAGUCAGGAAUGGCUUUUGGGGAGGAAGUUGCUACACGCUACGGAACUAGAAAACAGAAGAUGACGCAUACAUACUAUUUAGAUAGAUUGCUUAAACUAUGUUAGAAGAGCAUGUAGAAAGGGCAUUUGAAAAAUUGGGAGACAUAUUCAUAUUGAUUAUCAAGCCUGUUGUUUUCUAAUAUAGGGAACCCCUGAGGCUGCAGCUACACCUAUGGGUCAGAGUUAUAGGGGGUCUAAUGUAGGGUCAUCCAGAAAGGAUGAUGUACUAUGGCUACCCAUACAAACAAUGGUCAAGCAGAACAUGAUUUCCAAGUCUGCUGUUAAAUAGAGUCUAUCAGACAGUCAUUAGUCCUUAAGCGUCUGUUUCCUUAAGAAUUAACAGCCAAUAGAGGGAGAUGGUGGACUGGAAGUCAGAUAUUGAAUGAGCUUUCUCUCUGGUUUAAAUGUGUUUGUCUCUAUGGCUUGAUUUCAAAGGCAUAGGCAUAUGUCUUGAGGCAAAGGACAGUGGUAGAUGUCCUCUAAGGUCCCAUGGGGUUCUCAUCUGUGCUCUCUUUCUUUUACAGAUUCCUGACCAAAAGAGGCAGACAGAUCUGUGCUAACCCCAGUGAGCCCUGGGUCACUGAGUACAUGAGUGACUUGG
rnacentral:lncRNA from 1 species